rnacentral:rRNA from 1 species
UACGUAGGGUGCAAGCGUUAAUCGGAAUUACUGGGCGUAAAGCGUGCGCAGGCGGCUUUGCAAGACAGAUGUGAAAUCCCCGGGCUUAACCUGGGAACUGCAUUUGUGACUGCAUGGCUGGAGUGCGGUAGAGGGGGAUGGAAUUCCGCGUGUAGCAGUGAAAUGCGUAGAUAUGCGGAGGAACACCGAUGGCGAAGGCAAUCCCCUGGGCCUGCACUGACGCUCAUGCACGAAAGCGUGGGGAGCAAACAGG